rnacentral:rRNA from 1 species
UGGGGAAUAUUGCACAAUGGGCGCAAGCCUGAUGCAGCCAUGCCGCGUGUGUGAAGAAGGCCUUCGGGUUGUAAAGCACUUUCAGCGAGGAGGAAGGUGGUGAACUUAAUACGUUCAUCAAUUGACGUUACUCGCAGAAGAAGCACCGGCUAACUCCGUGCCAGCAGCCGCGGUAAUACGGAGGGUGCAAGCGUUAAUCGGAAUUACUGGGCGUAAAGCGCACGCAGGCGGUUUGUUAAGUCAGAUGUGAAAAUCCCCGGGCUCAACCUGGGAACUGCAUUUGAAACUGGCAAGCUAGAGUCUCGUAGAGGGGGUAGAAUUCCAGGUGUAGCGGUGAAAUGCGUAGAGAUCUGGAGGAAUACCGGUGGCGAAGGCGGCCCCCUGGACGAAGACUGACGCUCAGGUGCGAAAGCGUGGGGAGCAAAACAGGAUUAGAUACCCUGGUAGUCCACGCUGUAAACGAUGUCGAUUUUGGAGGUUGUGCCCUUGAGGCGUGGCUUCCGGAGCUAACGCGUUAAAUCGACCGCCUGGGGAGUACGGCCGCAAGGUUAAAACUCAAAUGAAUUGACGGGGUCAUA